GUGCCAGCCCCCGCGGUAAUACCGGCGGCUCUUCGGCCGUGAUUUUUUUUGGCCCUAAAUCGUCCUUACCAUGUUUGGGAAUUCAGUGGGUAAAUCCACCCCCUUAACUGGUUGAAUUUUGAAGAGACUGCCCGACUAGGGACCGGGAGAGGUGUGGGGUUUCGUUUGGGUAGGGGUAAAAUCCUGUCUUCCUUAGGGGACCAUGACUUGCUAAGGCGCCACACUGGAACCGACCCGACGGUCAGGGACGAAGCCUAGGGGCACGAACCGGAUUUAGAUACCCGGGUAGUCCUAGGUGUAAACGCUGUGAACUUGGUGUCGGGAGUCCGCAAUGGGCCCCCGGUGCCGGAGCGAAGAUGUUAAGUUCACUGCCUGGGGAGUACGGUAGCAAGGCUGAAACUUAAAGGAAUUGGCGGGGGAGCACUGCAACGGGAGGAGCGUGCGGUUUAAUUGGAUUCAACGCCGGAAAACUCACCAGGGCCGACUGUUAGAUGAAGACCAGCGUAAUGAGCUUGUCGGAUUUUCAGAGAGGUGGUGCAUGGCCGUCGUCAGUUCGUACUGUAAAGCGUUCUGUUAAGUCAGAUAACGAACGAGACCCUCAUCUCUAUUUGCUACCCGUCUCUCCGGAGGCGGCGCACUAUAGGGAGACCGCUGGUGUUAAACCAGAGGAAGGCGAGGGCAACGACAGGUCAGUAUGCCCCGAAUGUCCUGGGCUACACGCGCGCUACAAAGGACGGGACAAUGGGAAGCCAGGCCGAGAGGCCGAGCUACCCCGAAACCCGUUCAUAGUUCGGAUCGUGGGCUGUAACUCGCCCACGUGAAGCUGGAUUCCGUAGUAAUCGUGUUUCAAUAUAGCACGGUGAAUAUGCCCCUGCUCCUUGCACACACCGCCCGUC
rnacentral:rRNA from 1 species